AAAUGGUUUCAAUGAGGGGUGAAACGAAGAUGGGAAAGGGAAAUCCGCCCGACUGUCUGCCAGGAAAAUCCGCUAAGGAGAACGUUCGUAUCCGUACCACAAACCGACACAGGUGGACGAGAUGAGUAUUCUCAGGCGCUCGGGUGAUGGUCUGUUCAGGAACUAGGCAAAUUAGCUCCGUAACUUCGGGAAAAGGAGUGCCCUCGCAAGAGGGUCGCAGCAAAGCGCGUCAGGCGACUGUUUAACAAAAACACAGGUCUCUGCUAAGUCGAAAACGACGUAUAGGGGCUGACGCCUGCCCGGUGCCGGAAGGUUAAAGGGAGAGGUUAGCCGCAAGGCGAAGCUUUGAACUGAAGCCCCGGUGAACGGCGGCCGUAACAAUAACGGUCCUAAGGUAGCGAAAUUCCUUGUCGGGUAAGUUCCGACCUGCACGAAUGGCGUAACGAUCUGACGACUGUCUUAACAGGCCGCCCGGCGAAUUUGUGGUUCCGGUGAAGACGCCGGAUGCCCGCCACAAGACGGAAAGACCCCGUGCACCUUUACUAUACUCUAUCAAUGAAUUAUGGGGUACUCUGCGCAGCAUAGGUGGGAGGCUUUGAACUCGGGUUUUUGGAUUCGAGGGAGCCAACGGUGAGAUACCACCCUGAGUAUUCUGUGAUUCUAACUUCCUCCCGUGAUCCGGGAGAAGGACAUUGGUAGACGGGUAGUUUGUCUGGGGCGGUCGCCUCCUAAAUAGUAACGGAGGCGUUCGAAGCUUGGUUCAGGAGGUUUGGAAAUCCUCCUUUGAGUACAAUGGCAUAAACCAGGUUGACUGCGAGACCUACAAGUCAAGCAGGUACGAAAGUAGGACAUAGUGAUCCGGUGGUUCUGUAUGGAAGGGCCUUCGCUCAACGGAUAAAAGGUACGCCGGGGAUAACAGGCUGAUCGGAGUCAAGAGUUCAUAUCGACGCUCCGGUUUGGCACCUCGAUGUCGGUUCAUCGCAUCCUGGGGGUGUAGAAGCUCCCAAGGGUUAGGCUGUUCGCCUAUUAAAGCGGUACGUGAACUGGGUUCAGAACGUCGCGAGACAGUUCGGUCCCUAUCUGUGGUGGGCGCAGGAGAUUUGAGAGGGGUUGACCCUAGUACGAGAGGACCGGGUUGAACGAACCUCCUGUGAUCCAGUUGUCACACCAGUGGCACAGCUGGGUAGCGAAGUUCGGUCGGGAUAAGCGCUGAAUGCAUAUAAGCGCGAAACCUUCCUCAAGAUGAGAUCUCCCAAGCGAAAGCUAAGAAGGGCCGUGGAAGACUACCACGUCGAUAGGACGGAUGUGUAAGUGCAGUAAUGUGCUAAGCUGACCGUUACUAAUAGCCCGUUCGGCUUGACCG
rnacentral:rRNA from 1 species